GUCCCUUCGACAUCCGAUAAAAUUGGAACGAUAUAGAGAAGAUUAGCAUGGCCCCUGCGCAAGGAUGACACGCACAAAUCAAGAAAUGGGCUAGGGGAGC